rnacentral:rRNA from 1 species
GACGAACGCUGGCGGCGUGCCUAAUACAUGCAAGUAGAACGCACAGUUUAUACCGUAGCUUGCUACACCAUAAACUGUGAGUUGCGAACGGGUGAGUAACGCGUAGGUAACCUGCCUGGUAGCGGGGGAUAACUAUUGGAAACGAUAGCUAAUACCGCAUAAUAUUAAUUAUUGCAUGAUAAUUGAUUGAAAGAUGCAAUUGCAUCACUACCAGAUGGACCUGCGUUGUAUUAGCUAGUAGGUGAGGUAACGGCUCACCUAGGCGACGAUACAUAGCCGACCUGAGGGGGUGAUCGGCCACACUGGGACUGAGACACGGCCCAGACUCCUACGGGAGGCAGCAGUAGGGAAUCUUCGGCAAUGGACGAAAGUCUGACCGAGCAACGCCGCGUGAGUGAAGAAGGUUUUCGGAUCGUAAAGCUCUGUUGUAAGAGAAGAACGGGUGUGAGAGUGGAAAGUUCACACUGUGACGGUAUCUUACCAGAAAGGGACGGCUAACUACGUG